rnacentral:sRNA from 1 species
GUGAAGAGUACAUCAUCUCUCUCUCCAUGGUAUAGCACCUAGAGACAACCUGAGAUUCUGGAUUAGCAACAAGGCCCAUUUCAACAUUCUUGGUGCUGUUCAGGGAAGUACAUUUGUACUUCGGAGUUAAUAACGGCUUUAUUUCGCUGCUCCUUUGUAAGUCUUCCUUGUAUGCCCUUGAUCUUGCAGCUCUUAGGAGUUGCAGUCUUAUCUCCACUUCUUUCAUUUUAGGUCUCUUUGCUCCUUUAGUCUUUAAGCACAUCUCUGCAACUGAGGCCAUUUCAUCAAUCUCUCUAUGGCUAGCUUCCUCUACAACUUGAGAAUCCAGUAUAUCCAUUGUUGUUUUAUCUCUUAGGCUUUGAAGAAAACAGUGGCACAAAUUUUUCUGUUCACCAAGACAGUUGAGAAAAAUUGGCUUCUUCCUUGUUAGGAGUUCAACAAGUAUCACACCGAAACUAUAAACAUCACUCUUCUCGGUUAAUUGGCUUGUAUAGAAAUAUUCUGGAUCUAAGUACCCAAAUGUCCCCUGUACUAUUGUAACUACGCGAGUUUGAUCAAUGGAAAUGGACCUAGAAGCACCGAAAUCUGAAACCUUAGUAGUGAAGGUACCAUCCAAGAGUAUAUUAGUUGAUUUCACAUCUCUAUGGAAGAUUGGCAUUGCAGCAGAGGAAUGGAGAUAAGCAAAAAAUCGAAUGCACUAGAUACAUUAGGAAUGUGUACCUGUACAUCCAUUUUGGACAUAAGGAUUUCCUUCAAAUCCAAGAGAGCACUUGCAACGAUAACCAAUAUAUAGCUUCCCAUGUGUAACAUCAAGACACUCGCUGUUUGUGCUAACACAUGCAUAUGCACUUUUGCUUUUUGCAUCUUCACACGUCAAAUUGGUCACAGACCACUUCCAAACA